rnacentral:tRNA from 1 species
GUAGUUCAGUAGGUUAGAACAAUAGACAAGUAUCGGUUCGAAUCCGAUCAAAUCCACCA